AAAUUCAUCAAUUCUCUUUGUUUAACAGUCAGACACAUCUGAUCUCGGAAGCUAAGCAGGGUCGAGCCUGGUUAGUACUUAGAUGGGAGACCACUUAGGAAGACCAGGUGCUGUAGGUG
rnacentral:rRNA from 1 species